rnacentral:misc_RNA from 1 species
AAGUCGUAACAAGGUUUCCGUAGGUGAACCUGCGGAAGGAUCAUUACCAAAGAUUUAUAUCUUUGACCCAACUGUGCACUGUUUCCCCCCAUUGACACUUCGGUGUUAGUGGGGCCCCUUAUUCUACUCUUGUCUACUUUUUUUGACUACUUUAUGGGUGGGAAUAAAUACAACUUUCAGCAACGGAUCUCUAGGCUCUU